rnacentral:rRNA from 1 species
UACAGAGGGGGCAAGCGUUGUUCGGAAUUACUGGGCGUAAAGGGCGCGUAGGCGGCCUGCUAAGUCGAACGUGAAAUCCCUGGGCUCAACCCAGGAACUGCGUCCGAUACUGGAAGGCUUGAAUCCGGGAGAGGGAUGCGGAAUUCCAGGUGUAGCGGUGAAAUGCGUAGAUAUCUGGAGGAACACCGGUGGCGAAGGCGGGUCUCUGGGCCGAUACUGACACUGAGGAGCGAAAGCGUGGGGAGCGAACAGG